rnacentral:rRNA from 1 species
CCUACGGGUGGCAGCAGUGGGGAAUAUUGCACAAUGGGGGAAACCCUGAUGCAGCGACGCCGCGUGAGCGAUGAAGUAUUUCGGUAUGUAAAGCUCUAUCAGCAGGGAAGAAAAUGACGGUACCUGACUAAGAAGCCCCGGCUAACUACGGCCCGGCAGCCGCGGUAAUACGCAGGUGGCAAGCGUUGUCCGGAUGUACUGGGUGUAAAGGGCGUGUAGCCGGGCUGACAAGUCAGAUGUGAAAUCCGGGGCUCAACCCCCGAACUGCAUUUGAAACUGUUGGUCUUGAGUAUCGGAGAGGCAGGCGGAAUGCCUAGUGUAGCGGUGAAAUGCGUAGAUAUUAGGAAGAACACCAGUGGCGAAGGCGGCCUGCUGGACGACAACUGACGGUGAGGCGCGAAAGCGUGGGGAGCAAACAGGAUUAGAUACCCCUGUAGUC